rnacentral:rRNA from 1 species
UACAGAGGGGGCAAGCGUUGUUCGGAAUUACUGGGCGUAAAGGGCGCGUAGGCGGCCUGCUAAGUCGAACGUGAAAUCCCUGGGCUCAACCCAGGAACUGCGUCCGAUACUGGUUGGCUUGAAUUCGGGAGAGGGAUGCGGAAUUCCAGGUGUAGCGGUGAAAUGCGUAGAUAUCUGGAGGAACACCGGUGGCGAAGGCGGCAUCCUGGACCGAGAUUGACGCUGAGGCGCGAAAGCCAGGGCAGCAAACGGG